UAUCAAAAUAUCAAUAUUUUUCUAGAAUGUUCCAGCGCUACCUACCGACGAUCGACAGUUCUGUUCCCACCACCACCGCCGCUGAUUCUACAAACAGAUCCCCACAAUCAACCUCAACCCUCUGAAAACAAAACAUUCUCAGAAGAAUAAAAAGAAUUAAAAAGUUGACAACUCCAACACUCAAUAAUCAUUUAUUAUUCCUAUGUUGAUGAAAAAGAAAAUUUGAGCAGUUCAGAAUGAAACUCAUUUAUUAGAUAUUGCAAACAAUCAUGAAUAAUUCGAUUACGAAAGUUAAAAAAAUAUUCAUGACAAAUUUAUCGACAUUUUUAACCAAUAAAAACGUCAAUGAUUGGGUUUAAUUUAAAGACGGUCGGGUAAAGAAGAUCAAUGAAUUUAAGGAUAUUUAAUUCCCUGGAAUUUAUAAAAAAAAAUGUUUUUAUAAAUUGAGAAACAAAAUCCUUGCAAUGGGUCACUAUGCAAAAUCUAUACAUUUUAUGGAAUCUAAAAAAAAAUUGCGAAAACUGGAGGAUACCCUCAGAAAGAAAAUCGAGGUCAAAAAAUAUAAAAACAAUUUUUGAGCAAAUGAAAUUUGUAAUACUAGCCGAAGCGCCCAUCUUCUAAAUUAAUUUUCUAAACUCAAGUGACUUUAUUAUAAACAUGUAGAUUAUAUUGUCUUCUUCUGAAUAAUGCUCAUUACACAAAUUACAUGUAAAAAUUAUAUUAAACUAUA